AGAAGAAGAAGCGCUAAUCUAAAAAGGAAAACAAUUAGAGAUAAAACCUAAAAGAAACAAAACUCAAUUCUCUCUCUCACGGCGAUCUCGUCGACCUUCAUCUUCAUAAUACGUCUUUGAGCCUCCCUCUCUGCAUCUCCCAUCUUUGAAGCUCUGAUCUCUGCAGGAAAGAGUCUGGAGCAUUUCCAAAAUUUAGCUCAAGUAGUUCAAGAUAUUAAGGUUAGAUGACAAUUCGAUCCUCAAACAGAGCCCAAAAUUAG